UUGACCCCUUAUACUAGUUCCUCCUCCUCAGUCCUAUUUAUGUCUGCGGUGGAGGCACACAGGUGCAGAAACUCAUGGCUAUUUUUACUACCAGGCACAUGUACAUUCACACUUCACUCCAGUAUUGCCAGAUGGGACGGUGGCACUGUCAGCCACUUAUCGAAAUCUGGCAGAAGGUUUAGAACUACAGUUACAGAUUCUUGUUUUGGAACCAUCCCUACAGACAACAGGACUCAGUCCUACGUCCACUGUGUCAGAUGUGAAAGGAAGACUGAGAUGAUGAACAGAAGGAGAGCCUGCUUGCCUGCUUUGGAACACAGUCAAAAGAGCGAUGUGUGGUGAACAAUGCCUUGGAGAACCCUGAGAGACGCUCCAGAAGAAAGGCAGAGGGCCUUUUACAUCAGGGGCAUUUUGUUCCCGGCGUUGUUCUUGGACACGAUUUCGUGUUUCCUGUGACAAAUAUUUACAUUCCAUUUAUAAGACGUGUUUAUUCUUCUUGGAUGUCAGAAUGUAGCUAUAGAACCCAGUCUGAUUUCCACUUGGCUGGCAGACACCUCCAAGCUUUGGUCAAUUACACUGCUUCAAACAACUAUGAGCUCUGGACUUGCUAAAAGCUGACAUGGACCAGCCCAGCCAGUGUGAUUGUGCUCUGUCUUCACAGCUGAAUCAGAUAACCACAUACUUCUGACAAAUGCCCCAUUGCCCAGCCUUUGACUAGCCUUUCAGCCUUUGACUAGCCUUUCAGCCUUCUUGGGCCCUAACAACAACACCCCAGUGUCAGAUCAAAGCAGUUCCAGAAGAGAAUACAUCAUCCCAUGCUCCUUGCCCAAAAUAAGUUGAAAUGCUAGGUUAAAAAGGAAACUCCCUGGCAUAAGGGACAAAAUGGCCAACUAUAAUGCUCAUUUAUGUAGCAGGAAAAUAGGUUCAGAGUUGUAUGGAGGCCCACAAAGGUUUCCUAGUGAGAUCUGAGCUUGCUUUACCCAGCAGGGCUGCAUUAGAAGAUUGCU